GGGUUCUAGUCAGGAUUCUAGCAGCCGUAUUUAGCACUAACUGAAGUUUAUUUAGUGCUUUAUCCGGGUAGCUGGAAAGUAGAGCGUUGCAGUAGUCUAACCUAGAAGUGACAAAAGCAUGGAUAUAUUUGUUGAACCUCUUCCAUAUCUGGUCAACAGCAGUACACUGUCGGAGGUUCCGGGUAAGUCUCUUUUUGAAAAGAUGUUGAAAGGGGGCCACACCCAUCCAGAUCGUUGAAAGGGGGCCACACCCACCCAGAACGUUGAAAAGGGGCCACACCCAUCCAGAUCGUUGAAAGGGGGCCACACCCAUCCAGAUCGUUGAAAAGGGGCCACCCAUCCAGAUCGUUGAAAAGGGGCCACACCCAUCCAGAUCGUUGAAAGGGGGCCACACCCAUCCAGAUCGUUGAAAGAGGGCCCACCCAUCCAGAUCGUUGAAAGAGGGCCCACCCAUCCAGAUCGUUGAAAGAGGGCCCACCCAUCCAGAUCGUUGAAAGAGGGCCCACCCAUCCAGAUCGUUGAAAGAGGGCCCACCCACCCAGAUCGUUGAAAGAGGGCCCACCCACCCAGAUCGUUGAAAGAGGGCCCACCCACCCAGAUCGUUGAAAAGGGGCCCACCCAUGCAGCAUCUUUUUUUUUUAUUCAAACCUUAUUUUACCAGGUAAGUUGACUGAGAACACGUUCUCAUUUACAGCAAUGACCUGGGGAAUAGUUACAGGCGAGAGGAGGGGGAUGAAUGAGUCAAUUGGAAGCUCGGGAUGAUUAGGUGGCCAUGAUGGUAUGAAGGGCAGAUUGGGAAUAUAGCCAGGACACUGGUUUAGCUAAUUAAGGGUUGGACAUGGUUGUUGUCAGUUCUUCUAUGAAAUCUGGAAACGGGUAGGUGGCACUUGACUGUGGGGCCAGGUACUUCCCACCGAACCUUGAUGACUUCUGCCGCGGGGGUUGAACACGGCCACUUCACCUCCAAAUGCAUAGCCGCCCUGCGGCACAGUUCUGUUACCUCUAUUCCCGUAGCACACCAAGUCGUCAUCCAAACCUGGGCCCUGUAUGUAACCAACCGUCUCACUUAUCCCCCUGUAUUAAUGCUAGUUCCACCUGUUCCGACGACAGUCCCAAGUCUCUCUCCAUUUCCUGCACCUCAGUCCCAGCCGGUGUGUCGGCAUCUGGGAAGGGAAAGUUGCCAUCGGUAACACUAAGCUUCCUCAAGAAUUCUACAUGUAUUUCCAGGGAGUUCGCCCGCAGUACGUGGCGAUGGGCACUGAAAUGAUCUUUCAGAGAGAUACUAUAACCGUGUGAUUGGGGGACAGAUUUUAGUUGGCGCAAUGUAACGUCUCGCUUUCUAAUUUUUUGUUUUAGUAGCCUGAAUCGGUCCGGUUCACAUCGAGGUGAAAGAGCGGAAUAAUUGAAGGUAUGAAUCCGAGCCUCGCGCUUGUCACCUGUGGAAAGUCGGCGCUAUUUCAUCGGCCCUGUCAGGCGCGAUCGUAGAUCCUUCAACCGAAGUCGCGAGAGUGCGACUCCCCGUAGUAUGUUGAACCGAAGUUGACUGACACAAAGGGAACCUUGUCUGAGAGACAGCUUUUGUACCAUAGUAUAUUAUCUGAAUCCUUCCACAGAUCCAAGGUUUGAGGACAGCCUAGUCAAGUCUUGCAAAGUUUACUAAUAGGUGUGUUUUCAUUUUUAUUCUAGCAACACAGAUGCGUUUUUUUUUGGGGAGCAAUUUUACUUUCUUCGUUUUGUAUAUAAUUUUGACUUCCUGUUUUGAAAAACCGAAACCAGGCUUGGCUAGCUUUUUAGUCUUACAACUAUUUGGUUUGUUCUCUGAUGACAUAGAAGAGAAGAAUGAUGUUUUAUUUACCCGGUCUUCACUGAGGCUAAGGGAAUUGUGUUUUCAAAUUAACAAAAUCCUGUUUUACUUGAAUUGUCAUAUUAUUCAUUUGUAAUCUUUUUUUCUGUCUUGUUUGUUGUUUGUUGGUCAUCCUUUACGGCUCUUCAUUCCACCGGUUCUGAUUACUACAUUAUCUUUGUGAAUAAUAACUAUCUCCGUGCACAUUUUUGCUGUUAGACAACUUGCACAUGCAUUCAAUAGUCUUUUUUUUUCUGUUAAGAAAUUAAUUUCUUGCAGUUCUCUGUUUGUUCACCACCGAUAAUGCACUAUCAAUAGCCUUGAUUUUAUUUAUUCAUCUAGUGAAUUGGUGUUGAUGAUAUUUGCCACCACAACAGACCCCCCCCCCCCCCCCCCCCCUAAUCAAGAUGGCGAAUAUGUGUAAACAUAAAUCCUCCAAUCAUAGUAUUAAUAAUUAUAAUACCUGUGAAACAACCCAGUGUGCUACUAAGACUGCAUUUUUAUUACUCUGUAUGUAAAUAGUAUAAUGUGUUUAUCAUAUCAAAUAAAUUGGUUUCCUACUUGU